rnacentral:rRNA from 1 species
UGGGGAAUUUGGACAAUGGGCGAAGCCUGAUCCAGCAAUGCCGCGUGUGUGAAGAAGGCCUUCGGGUUGUAAAGCACUUUUGUCCGGAAAGAAAUCCUUGGCUCUAAUACAGUCGGGGGAUGACGGUACCGGAAGAAUAAGCACCGGCUAACUACGUGCCAGCAGCCGCGGUAAUACGUAGGGUGCAAGCGUUAAUCGGAAUUACUGGGCGUAAAGCGUGCGCAGGCGGUUUGCUAAGACCGAUGUGAAAUCCCCGGGCUCAACCUGGGAACUGCAUUGGUGACUGGCAGGCUAGAGUAUGGCAGAGGGGGGUAGAAUUCCACGUGUGAGCAGUGAAAUGCGUAGAGAUGUGGAGGAAUACCGAUGGCGAAGGCAG